rnacentral:tRNA from 1 species
GUGGUUGUGGCUCAGUGCUAGAGCACUUGCCUAGCAUGCAUGAGGCACUGGGUUCAAUUCCCGGAACCAUA